UACGAAGGGGGCGAGCGUUGUUCGGAUUUACUGGGAGUAAAGGGCGCGCAGGCGGUUCUGGUUGUCAGGCGGGAAAUCUCACGGCUUAACUGUGAGCGUGCGGGCGAUACGGGCAGACUGGAGUACUGCAGGGGAGACUGGAAUUCCUGGUGUAGCGGUGGAAUGCGCAGAUAUCAGGAGGAACACCGGUGGCGAAGGCGGGUCUCUGGGCAGUAACUGACGCUGAGGAGCGAAAGCGUGGGGAGCGAACAGG
rnacentral:rRNA from 1 species